rnacentral:rRNA from 1 species
UACAGAGGGUGCAAGCGUUGUUCGGAAUCAUUGGGCGUAAAGGGCUCGUAGGUGGCCAACUAAGUCAGACGUGAAAUCCCUCGGCUUAACCGGGGAACUGCGUCUGAUACUGGAUGGCUUGAGAUUGGGAGAGGGAUGCGGAAUUCCAGGUGUAGCGGUGAAAUGCGUAGAUAUCUGGAGGAACACCGGUGGCGAAGGCGGCAUCCUGGACCAACACUGACACUGAGGAGCGAAAGCCAGGGGAGCAAACGGG